ACUCAAAUGAAUAGACGGGGACCUGCACAAGCGGUGGAGCGCGGGGUUUAAUUCGUCAACAAGCGAAGAACCUUACCCAGGCUUGACAUCUUUGGAAUCUCCUGGAAACAGGAGAGUGCCGCAAGGAACCAAAUGACAGGUGCUGCACGGUUGUCGUCAGCUCGUGCUGUGAAGUGUCCCGUUCAGUCGGUUAACGAGCGCAACCCCUACCCUGUGUUGUAUUUUUCACAGGGGACUGCCCUAGUUAAUAGGGAGGAAGGUGGGGACGACGUCAAAUCAGCGUGGCUCUUACGCCUGGGGCCACACCCACGCUACAAUGGGUAGUAACAAUGAGUUGCCAAGCCGCGAGGCGGAGCUAAUCUCACCAAACCUACCCCCAGUUCGGAUUGAAGGCUGCAACUCGCCUUCAUGAAGUCGGAAUCGCUAGUAACGGCCGGUCAGCCAUACGGCCGUGAAUACGUUCUCAGGUCUUGUACACACCGCCCGU
rnacentral:rRNA from 1 species